AUGCCGCACCUCUCACCGCCGCUGCCAUCCAUUAUCAGCAAGAGGAACGGAGAGAAAAAGAGUCCCUUAGGCAGGAAAUCCUUCCAUUGUGGGUUUCAAGAUAGGAGUCUAGCACAGCUGUCCUCUGAGAGGCAGCUGACUCAGACAGAUGCAUAGACCUACAGCCAAACAGUGGAUGGAGCUUGGGGACUCUUACAGAAGAAUAAGAAGAAGGAUGGUGGGCCCUGAAGGAUCUAGGAACUCCACAGAAAGACCAACAGAGUAAAAUAACCUGGACCCUUGCAGCUCUCAGAAGACUUGAACGACCAACCAAAGAGCUUACCCAGGUUGGACCUGGGCCUCUCUGCACAUAUAUAACAGAUGUGCAGCUUGGUCUUCAUGUAGGUCCAAACCACUGGAGCAGGGGGCUAUCCCAAAAGCUGUUGCCUGUGUAUAAAAUAUAUUCUUCUAGCUGACUGUCUUUUCUAGCCUCAGUGGGAGAGGAAGCAUCUAGCUUCACUGAGACUUGGUGUGCAAGGGUGUGGGAGUGACACACAGAGGACACCUACCUGCUCAGAGGAGAAAGGGGUGAGGAUUGUGGGAGGGGGUGACUGAAAGGGAAGCAGUGAGGUGCACAUAAAGUGAAAGUAAAAACAAAACAAAACAAAACAAAAAACAAUUUAAAGAUGUCUGGAUUUUCAAAUACAUAAAACUGUGUCACGCGCC
rnacentral:lncRNA from 1 species